GUCCAGGUAGUCGCCUUCGCCACUGAGUGUUCCUUCCUAUAUCUACGCAUUUCACCGCUACACAGGAAAUUCCACUACCCUCUACCGUACUCUAGCUCGCCAGUUUUGGAUGCAGUUCCCAGGUUGAGCCCGGGGCUUUCACAUCCAACUUAACGAACCACCUACGCGCGCUUUACGCCCAGUAAUUCCGAUUAACGCUUGCACCCUUCGUAUUACCGCGGCUGCUGGCACGAAGUUAGCCGGUGCUUAUUCUGUUGGUAACGUCAAAACCGCAGGAUAUUAGCCUACAGCCCUUCCUCCCAACUUAAAGUGCUUUACAAUCCGAAGACCUUCUUCACACACGCGGCAUGGCUGGAUCAGGCUUUCGCCCAUUGUCCAAUAUUCCCCACUGCUGCCUCCCGUAGGAGUCUGGACCGUGUCUCAGUUCCAGUGUGACUGAUCAUCCUCUCAGACCAGUUACGGAUCGUCGCCUUGGUGAGCCAUUACCUCACCAACUAGCUAAUCCGACCUAGGCUCAUCUGAUAGCGCAAGGCCCGAAGGUCCCCUGCUUUCUCCCGUAGGACGUAUGCGGUAUUAGCGUUCCUUUCGGAACGUUAUCCCCCACUACCAGGCAGAUUCCUAGGCAUUACUCACCCGUCCGCCGCUGAAUCCAGGAGCAAGCUCCUUUCAUCCGCUCGACUUGCAUGUGUUAGGCCUGCC
rnacentral:rRNA from 1 species